rnacentral:rRNA from 1 species
AAUAGAUACCCCGGUAGUCCACGCCCUAAACGAUGUCAACUGGUUGUCGGGGAAGCAAUUCCUUGGUAACGAAGCUAACGCGUGAAGUUGACCGCCUGGGGAGUACGGCCGCAAGGUUAAAACUCAAAGGAAUUGACGGGGACCCGCACAAGCGGUGGAUUAUGUGGAUUAAUUCGAUGCAACGCGAAAAACCUUACCUACCCUUGACAUGUACGGAACCUCGCAGAGAUGUGAGGGUGCCCGAAAGGGAGCCGUAACACAGGUGCUGCAUGGCUGUCGUCAGCUCGUGUCGUGAGAUGUUGGGUUAAGUCCCGCAGCGAGCGCAACCCUUGUCAUUAGUUGCUACAUUCAGUUGGGCACUCUAAUGAGACUGCCGGUGACAAACCGGAGGAAGGUGGGGAUGACGUCAAGUCCUCAUGGCCCUUAUGGGUAGGGCUUCACACGUAAUACAAUGGCCGGUACAGAGGGCUGCCAACCCGCGAGGGGGAGCUAAUCCCAGAAAGCCGGUCGUAGUCCGGAUUGUUCUCUGCAACUCGAGAGCA